UAGGGAAUCUUCCGCAAUGGACGCAAGUCUGACGGAGCAACGCCGCGUGAGUGAAGAAGGUUUUCGGAUCGUAAAACUCUGUUGUUAGAGAAGAACAAGUGCUAGAGUAACUGUUAGCGCCUUGACGGUAUCUAACCAGAAAGCCACGGCUAACUACGUGCCAGCAGCCGCGGUAAUACGUAGGUGGCAAGCGUUGUCCGGAUUUAUUGGGCGUAAAGCGAGCGCAGGCGGUUCCUUAAGUCUGAUGUGAAAGCCCCCGGCUCAACCGGGGAGGGUCAUUGGAAACUGGGGAACUUGAGUGCAGAAGAGGAGAGUGGAAUUCCAUGUGUAGCGGUGAAAUGCGUAGAUAUAUGGAGGAACACCAGUGGCGAAGGCGACUCUCUGGUCUGUAACUGACGCUGAGGCUCGAAAGCGUGGGUAGCAAACAGGAUUAGAUACCCUGGUAGUCCACGCCGUAAACGAUGAGUGCUAAGUGUUGGAGGGUUUCCGCCCUUCAGUGCUGCAGUUAACGCAUUGAGCACUCCGCCUGGGGAGUACGACCGCAAGGUUG
rnacentral:rRNA from 1 species